rnacentral:tRNA from 1 species
AGUUAUAUAGUUUAAAUAAAACAAAACAUUAAUUUUGUAAAUUAAUAUUAAAAAUUAUUUUUAUAACUU